CGCGCAGUUCGAAGUGCCGACGCGCGAAAUGCCUAGACGCGGGCUCGAGGAGUCGACGCUCGAUGCGCUUAUUCGCGCAGUCCGAAGUGCCGACGCGCGAAAUGCCUAGACGCGGGCUCGAGGAGUCGACGCUCGAUGCGCUUAUUCGCGCAGUCCGAAGUGCCGACGCGCGAAAUGCCUAGACGCGGGCUCGAGGAGUCGACGCUCGAUGCGCUUAUUCGCGCAGUCCGAAGUGCCGACGCGCGAAAUGCCUAGACGCGGGCUCGAGGAGUCGACGCUCGAUGCGCUUAUUCGCGCAGUCCGAAGUGCCGACGCGCGAAAUGCCUAGACGCGGGCUCGAGGAGUCGACGCUCGAUGCGCUUAUUCGCGCAGUCCGAAGCGCCGAUGUACAAAAUGCUUAUGCGAGGGUGCGAGAUGUCCGCGCGCGAUGUGCUUGAUCGCCGAGUCGGAGACUCCUAUGCGUGAAAUGCUUAGCCGCGGUACGAGGAUUGCGUGC
rnacentral:lncRNA from 1 species